CUUUCCUCUCUCUCUCUCUAUCCACUCUCAUGUCCCUUCCCUGUAAUCUGUCCCAUAUCCUCCCUAUUUCUUCCCAAUUUGGUGCCCUCUCUUUCUUUGGUUAUCAUGGUUAGAUAUAUAAUGUUUAAAUAUAUAGAUACAAACUAUGAAGUCUGCUCAGAGUGGUAUGAGUAUAUGAUUUCAGCUCUGACCAUUUUCUAUUGGAUAAGCAAUUAGAGCCCUCAUUCCUGGGAGAAGUAGUUCACACACUCUUGGCAGUCAUGCCCUGUCUCCAGUUGUUUGUCUAGAGAUGGGUUCUCUAUGACAUUUCCUCUUUCUACCUUCGAAUAUCUCUGUCGUCCUUGUUCAGAUCUUGUUUAGGCAGCCAUAUUGUUGAUGAAUAUCUUGUGACAGUAUCUCACAGAACUUUCCAGGCCUCUGGCCUUUACAAGUUUUCUCUGCCCUGCCCUGUGAUUUUCUGAGCCUUGGCUACAAGAGUUGUUGUGAUGGUUUGUAUAUGCAUGACCUAGGGAGUGGUGCCAUUAGGAGUAGGUGUGUCACUGUGGCUGUGUGCUUAAAACCCCCACCCUAGCUGCUUGGAAGUAAGUCUUCAACUAGCAGCCUUCAAAUGAAGAGAAAACUCUCAGCUCCUCCUGCACCAUGCCUGCCUAGCUGCUUCCAUGUUCCCACCUUGAUGAUAAUGGCCUGAACCUCUGAACUGAACCAGGAUGGGCUGGACUCGUUUAGAAGAUACAUGGCUCUUCGGGCUUCUGAGAUGGCAGCCAUCGGUGAAGGUGUACAAAUCACUUCUGUCUAUGAUUUUGAGGGUGACAUACAGGCCAAUCACCUGUAAUUGAUCUUCUGUGUUGGGAUCUCAGGCAUACAGGAAAGUAACCAGAUGUUCACUGUAGAGAUGGUUUGCUGUUUCUGUGCCUGUCAUGAAAAAGUAGCAAGUGGAUGAAGUCCAAGCUGCUCAUCACCUGAACAGAUUCCGGGGAAGGGUCCCGUCCAACUGAAGAAACUUCAAAGUUCACAUGUCACAGAGCCAGAAUCCCACAGCAUCCAUUUUUGGCCUCCAGGAACCCACAAGUUAAACUGCUAUCUUCAGUCUAGGACUGUGGUUGUGGGUCAGACCAGGAGGCUGGUGGGUACCAUCUGUUGUCCUCAGAGAGGUCAGAGCUUUGGAAUCCUCAGCUAAAACAGGAGCUAUCACAUAACUUCCAGAGAACUGUGGGUUCCUGCUCUUAGCCAUUGUUUCUCCUACCCUAGGAUGAUCAGGGAAGCGUUGAUUAUGGAAACAGACAGUGGGUAUUGAGUGAGGUUAAUGUUAGUUCAACUCUGUGGAUAAACUGUGUAAAGACAAGGAGAUUAAAGAAUCCAGCAGCAAAGAUAGACUGGACCCAAACCUCUGACGACAGGGCUGUGUGCUCAAGAGGGAGACAUGGAGGUAAGCUCUGCACUGCAACAACCCAAGAAGAUAUAAUGCCACAUCACCACAGUGCAGGGCCAGACAGGACACUAGAGUGCAGGGAACUUUAUAAACACUCAGAAACAUUUAGGGAGAAUCAUAAAACAAGGGGAAGGAAGGUGUGGGGGGGUGGUAUUGCAUUUUGCUGUCAGGAAAGCUUUGCAGGAAUUUCUGGGAUCCAUCCUGUCUCUUCUACAAUGGUAAAUGUUAACAUCACAGUUGGGACUCAUAUUUGCCUCUUGCAAAGGACCCCUGUAUGUUCUACAGUCAAUGAGUGGGCUGAAUAUCGCUCCCUUGCAGGGCAAUCCUUGAAUAUCUCAUUUGCCUCAUCCCAUCUUUAUUGGAAUCAGCCCCGAGUUACCUACAAUCCACCCAUGUAGCUAGAAUUAUUUCCCAAAAGCAUAGUAAAAGGUAAAAGGCAUACGUACAUUUUUUUUUCAAAACCUUAUUGAAGAAAUGUUUACAUCUUUUAGCUUUUGUAAAACAAUCAACUCAGUUUCCUCAGGAUUCCCCUUUAAUUUUUGCUACACAUUUCAAUGGAAUAAAUUGGUAUUUUUAUAUACCUCACAAUCAACAUAUACUGAAAAUAUGCAUCUGUAACCAUGUAUACAACAGUAUGAGUACAUGUGCUUAUUUAGAUACUGACAAUAUUAUAAAAUAUAUCUUCAUGUU